rnacentral:sRNA from 1 species
CUUUUACUCAUUAAAUGCUUACAUAUGUAUAGGGCACCUGCAAAAAGUCAGCACAUAUACGCAGAUUCUUAAACACGUUUUAAUAUACAUGAUUAAACUAUUACUACUAAUAUAAACAAAAGACAUGUGUACAAAAAUCAAUUGAAAAGAAUGGACGAAACUAAAAGCCAGUGAGGGCAGACGUAUUUUUCCGUGGAACUCGGAGCGAGUAGCAAGCCACGCCUUCCGCAGUGUACCCGCGACCGCGUGAAUCGGGCUACGCCACGCCAACACCUACAGGGCAGCAGCCUGGGAAAAACAAUACCUUUUGAAUAAAGAAAUACUGAGAAUAUUA